rnacentral:tRNA from 1 species
AGUCCCGUGGUGUAGUGGUCAAGCAUACAGGCCCUUGGAGCCUGUGACAGGGGUUCGAAUCCUCUCGGGACUA